rnacentral:rRNA from 1 species
GAGCAUUCAGAAGCGAGAAUGUUGACAUGAGUAGCGAUAAAGAGGGUGAGAGACCCUCUCGCCGAAAGUCCAAGGGUUCCUGCUUAAAGCUAAUCUGAGCAGGGUGAGCCGACCCCUAAGGCGAGGCCGAAAGGCGUAGUCGAUGGGAACCAGGUUAAUAUUCCUGGGCCAGGAGGAAGUGACGGAUCGUAGCUGUUGUCAGGCCUUAUCGGAUUGGUCUGGCCUCGAAGCGGUUCCUGGAAAUAGCCCUCCAUGAGAUCAUACCCUAAACCGACACAGGUGGACUGGUAGAGCAUACCAAGGCGCUUGAGAGAACUGCGUUGAAGGAACUCGGCAAAAUGCCUCCGUAACUUCGGGAGAAGGAGGCCCCGUCCGCGGGCAACCGUGGGCGGGGGGCACAAACUAGGGGGUGGCGACUGUUUACUAAAAACACAGGUCUCUGCGAAGCCCAAAGGCGGCGUAUAGGGACUGACGCCUGCCCGGUGCUGGAAGGUUAAAGGGAGGGGUGCAAGCUCCGAACUGAAGCCCCAGUAAACGGCAGCCGUAACAAUAACGGUCCUAAGGUAGCGAAAUUCCUUGUCGGGUAAGUUCCGACCUGCACGAAUGGCGUAGCGACUUCCCCGCUGUCUCCAACGCAGACUCAGCGAAAUUGAAUUCCCCGUGAAGAUGCGGGGUUCCCGCAGUCAGACGGAAAGACCCCGUGCACCUUUACUACAGCUUCACACUGGCAUCAGGCCAGGCAUGUGCAGGAUAGGUGGCAGGCUUUGAAACAGGGACGCCGGUUCCUGCGGAGCCGUCCUUGAGAUAUCACCCUUGCCUUGCCUGGUGUCUAACCGCGGACCGUCAUCCGGUUCCGGGACCCUGUGUGGCGGGUAGUUUGACUGGGGCGGUCGCCUCCCAAAAAGUAACGGAGGCGCGCGAUGGUGGGCUCAGGUUGGUCGGAAAUCAACCGUCGAGUGCAAUGGCAUAAGCCCGCCUGACUGCGAGACUGACAAGUCGAGCAGAGACGAAAGUCGGCCAUAGUGAUCCGGUGGUCCCGCGUGGAAGGGCCAUCGCUCAACGGAUAAAAGGUACGCCGGGGAUAACAGGCUGAUACUGCCCAAGAGUCCAUAUCGACGGCAGUGUUUGGCACCUCGAUGUCGGCUCAUCACAUCCUGGGGCUGGAGAAGGUCCCAAGGGUACGGCUGUUCGCCGUUUAAAGUGGUACGUGAGCUGGGUUUAGAACGUCGUGAGACAGUUCGGUCCCUAUCUGCCGUGGGUGUCGGAGACUUGAGAGGAGUUGCCCCUAGUACGAGAGGACCGGGGUGAACGCACCACUGGUGGACCUGUUGUCGUGCCAACAGCAGUGCAGGGUAGCUAUGUGCGGACAGGAUAACCGCUGAAGGCAUCUAAGCGGGAAGCCCCCCUCAAAACCAGGUCUCCCUUGAGGGCCGUGGAAGACCACCACGUCGAUAGGCCGGAGAUGUAAGUGCAGCAAUGCAUUCAGUUGACCGGUACUAAUCGCCCGAUAGGCUUGAUCCU